rnacentral:misc_RNA from 1 species
UGAUUCAUCGACGUCUUUUUGCGCUCUCUUUCUCCUCUCUCGCUCUCUCGUGGCUCUCCGCACGGACGGGUUGAAGAAUCAAGCCUAGUUGGUCACUUGCGUCGCACAGCCCCCACCCGCACACCAUCUUCCUCCCUUCUCUGUUAAGCACUCGUACACACAAGCAGUGCGCGUGUCGCUUCAUAGUCGUGUGUUCUCUCUCUUUCUUUGGUUGUCGCUGCACUCCGUGUUUUGUUUCCUUUAUUUUUUUCCUUUGCCGAUCAGCGGUUCCCUCCCCUCGCAGCGUGCCGCUGUUGUGCGUGAGAGUUGUGUCUCCGUACUUGCGUGUGGGUCUUCGCCUCGGCGUCGGCGUUGGCGCCUUCGUCGCAUCGCGCGUGUUCGCAUUCUUCUUUGCUUGGCCACCCCUUCCAUCGCCGGUGCAUUUCUGCGUGCAAAUCCCAGUUGCCGUCGCUGUGCCGCCGCCGGUUGUUGAUCUGCUUAUGUCAGCGGUGCCUCCAGGAGCGGUUGCCCCACUAUACCGUACUCCGUCCCCUCUUCUAGCCCCUGCACAAGACAGGGAAGAGAGUCUCAGGCACGCAGUUCAACAGUAACACUCACGGAUACCACAUGUAUCAACAGCAGCAGGCUGCGGCGUACAGUGGCGAUGGCGCAACAAAGCUGAGCGGGCCGGGCGUGGGUGCUGGCUGGGGUGCCGGUCCUAUAAACAGCAGUUUUGGCGCUGGCGCCUACUGCAGAGGCUACGGCGCUGGCGGUUACGGUGGCGCCGCCGCGUUUGACGGUGAGAGAAUGCACGACGCCGGACAUAACAGCAUGUACGGCACAUGCAGCAUGUACGCACAGCCCGAUGCAAGGGAUGUGAUGGGCGACACAAAUGAGGAGAUCAUUGUCACAAAGAUUUUUUCCAGUCGGCGAGAUCUCGAUCGCCUCGCUUCUGCGCAGGAUUUUUCACGUCGGUUCGACUCGAACUGGGGAAGCUACCGCUUCGCCGGCGCAGACGGCUUUGGCGGCUCCCUGUACGGCGCGAACAGCGCGGCUGGUGGUUCCCUCAUGAACCUCAGUGGCAAGCCCGGUGCGUCAUCCAUCACAGACCGCGGAACAGGGGCCGCUGGCAUGGGUCCAGAUGGCAACGACGGCCGCAGCGCGCACGAGAAGAUGCCGGCAUCGGGGGAGAAGGUAGCAGCGACUAAGGAGGCUGCGUACGAGCGCGUCGACGCCUCUCGCAAUGCCCGGCGAAGUGGCCUGGCGGAAACGGACGCGUCCAAGGCGUCUGGCAAGUCGACACCGAGCACGGUGAAGCCUAGCAGCGCGGCGGACCAAAAUGGCGAGGCGCACGACGCGCCGAUGCAGUCCUCGACCGAAGCAAGCGACACGACCAACAAGAGCAAGGGCGUGUCCGGCGGUGCGCCUGACAAGGGGCCCAAGACCAGCACGCAGCAGGCGACCGAACCGAAGCCGACGCCGACGGGUGCGAGUGAUCGCUGCAUGGCAGCUCUUGAGACGGCCAAGGGGCGUGCAGGCAAGGCAUCGGAGACCAUGAAUACGCAGGAAACAAAACCCCUUACGACUGAGUCGAUCGAUGACAUUCCGCUCCUGGCCGACGACGUCCGACCGAAGCCGAAGCCGGCCGCCCCGAAUGCACCGACGCCGCAGACGGCGCCGGUGGAGCUGCCCGCUAAGGAAGAGCCACAGCAGACAUCGGCGACCACGAAGACGCCCGCGUCGAAGCUGUCUGAACCGCCGAACGAGGCGACAGAGACUGCCCACGCCGUGGACAGCAGCUCAACUACCAACGCAACGAGGGGCUCCAUCGCCAACGGCGAGGGCCGCCCCGCUCGCCCACGCAGCCGCCAGGCAGCACGCUCCGUCAGUCGCCUCACCUCGAUGAGCGUUGUGGAGUUCCCAGUGGCGGAGGAGGUGAAUGAUGAGAUGGUUGACGGCGGCCUCCACGACUCGGAGAAGGAGGCGGCUCUCCGCGUCGAGCAGCGCCGCGAGCGCGAGGAAGCCGCCCGCGCGGCGCGCGAUGAGCGCCAGCGUCAGCAGCAACUGAUGGAGGAGGCGCAGAGGCAGCGCGAAGAGGAGGCGCAGAGGCGGCGACAGAAGAAAGAGGACGAGGCGCGCCAGCGGAAGGAGAUGCUGACGAAGAUGGACGGGGAGCGCAAGCGCGAACGGGACGCCGCCCUUGCCGCGCGCGAGCGCCAGCGGGAGGAGGAGAAGCGGCGCUUUGAGGAUAUGAAGCGCCUCGAGGAGGCGAAAGAGGCCGCGCGUGCCGCCGCUCUGAUAGCGGAGCGGCAACGCAAGCUCGAAGCGGAGAAGACGGAAGCAGAGGAGAAGACGGCCCGCAGUGCCUCGCGUCAACGCAGCCGACGCCCUACUAGUCGACCAGCCUCCCGCCUGCGCGGUGCGAUCCCGGAGCAGCCUCCGGAUGUGACGGCUGGGCAGAUAAAGGACACACUAGCGGACGAGGCCUUGGGGAAGUCAGCACACCCCGACAAUGAGAACCACCACUCCCACGCCGCACAGGCACCGCGCGUGGCGCAAGCGGAUCGCAAGACGGAGCCUGUGGCGGAAGUGCGGCACACAUCUAAGUCGCCGGCGGGUGUGAGGUGUGCGUCCUCGACCCCGGCCGAGGUGCGGGCAGAACGUGCCGCUCGAUCGCAGCGUUCACAGUCGCCGCUGCCACAGCAGAAGCAGCCAGCCUCGGCAGAAGGAGUGAUGAGUGGGCCGCCGAGCCACAGCGCCGCGCCUGUGCUGCCGAACUCGAACCCGACGCCGCAGUCGCAGGUGCCCAAUAACUCUCACCGCUCUCAGUCGAAGGAGGACAAAUCUGCGUCUUCAGCGGGCAAGAGCAGCACCUCGCGCCCGGCAAACAUGGUCAAGACACUGGUGCUUGUGGAGGAGCUGCGCGACAGCAAUCACGCCUUGGCGAUGAAGGACAACUCCAUCAGCUACAAAGGGCAGACGAUCGAGGUGACCGAAGUGAAGACACGUCCGGAGGACAACUUCAACUACCAUUCCAGCGUCGUCCACGACGUCUCCGAGGCGGUGUGCAGCGGCUACAAUGCCGCGGUGCUGGCUGUGGACGCUCCGAACACCGCCGGCCGCUUCGAUUCUCCCGUCUGGUCUAUCCUCAACCGCAUUGUUCGCACGCUGCUACACGAGAACAGCAACAAGGCCGGCCAGCUGCGCGCCGACUUUCAGCUGACGUGCGCCAUGGGGUACCUCUACAAGGACAAGGUGAAGGACUUGCUGACGAGCGCUGAGCCGGAGGCGUCGUUCACGAAGAUCGGCGUGAACCCGUCGCCGAUCUAUGGUCCGCGCUUGACAAACCUCACCUACGACGCCGUCACGGACCCCAGCGCGUUCGAGGACGUGCUCACCACCACGCUCUCGCGCGCCUCUGAGGAUGCGACAAUACAGAGUCUGACGGAGGGUGUCUUGGCUGCGUUUGUGCUCAUCAUGCAGACCCGCGAGACGGACGGCAAGCCGGACAUCUAUCUGUCGUCCCUCGUGGUGGCCACGUCCGGUGACGACACUUUUCCAUACCAGUCAGCGAUCUCGCACACCCGCAACGAGUACGCGACGGUGUUCCACCUGGUCCUCGGUGGUCCAAGCUGCACCUGCUUCAUGCUGAACAUCGCCGACGACGACAAAGUCCGAAAGGCGGGUGAGACAGAGGAGUCGGUGCAGGAGAGGAUUAAGCGUGUGCUAGGGUUGCUGCAGAAAAUGUCCGCGCUGCCGAACUACGACUUGCGCAGCGGUUCUGUGAAGCGCUUCAUCAAGUACGUUGAGCUGUCCCACAAAAACGCGCAGGCGCGGCUGGAGAAGGAAGAGGAUGAUGUGCAGCGCCGCAAGGUAGAGCGCUACCUCCGCGAACAGGAGCGACUCCUGCAGGACGCCUACCGCCUGCUGCAGGAGUGGAACAUCAACUGCGGCGGUGAGCUCUAAUCGAGAUCGCACCGCCGGCAGACGUGAGAGUGCGCCACGCUUCUCUAUCGCUGCCGUUUUUUUCGACAGCCAUCUCUCACCCUGUGUGCGCGUGUGCCGUCUUGAUGAUUCCUCCGUUGCUUCUGGACUCUCGUUCUCUAUAUACAUGUGUAUAUGCAUGUAUGUAUGUGCACGGCGAAAUGCAUUAGCGAGUGCUAAGCUGCCUGUCUGCCGCGUGUGUGUGUGUGUACCGCCGCUUCCACAGUCCUCAGUCCCCUCCCCUCACAUUUUCCCAUCGCACCUGCGUCGAGCUCUUCCUGGCGGCACUUUAGGGGGUUUUCCCCAUUUUGGUUAUUAUGCUUUUGCUUGUGUUUUUCUCCGUGUUUGCCAUGCUGUCGUGCGCCUGCGUGUGCCUGUAUGCACGGUUCACAUUAUCCUUGCCGUGCUCUGUGGGGUGUCGUUCUCUCCCAGAGUGCCACAGGCUUUCUCCCACCUCGCUGCGCAAGCCGCACUUGUUUACUGGCGACACGAGACCUCUUCCCUCUCUCGGCCUCCCCGCCUGCAUCAUCGUUUCUGCUUCUUCUUGCUUCAUUGUCUCCUUUACUGUGUGUGUGUGUGUUGAUUUCGCUGAUGCAUCUCUCAUUCUCUUUGCGUAUGCUGUCUGCCUGCACGCAUGCAUAUGUUUAAGGAGGGGGAGCGGCUCCUCUCUCACUCAUGUGCCUAUUCUCUCUUUUCUUUUUUUUUUUCUGUCGUGCUUGUUUGCAGUGUCGUUCCGCACAGCUGUCACCUCUAGCCCCCACACUCUGUCUUGCGCGCAAUCGACACCGCUGGCGGGCUUCAUUCAGUGCUUCUCGUAGUGUGUGCAUAGACGCCUACGUGUGCGUGUGCGUGGAUGGACGUGUAGGUUUUGAGGAGGCGGAUUGUGAGUGUAUCCAGACUUGGACGAGCGUGAAGGACUUUCUUGUGCGUGUGUGUGCGGCAGCUGUUUCUCCUGUUAGCCUUUACCUGUGGUUUCUUCUGUCUUUUUUUUUUAUUAUUAGUCGGACGCAUUGCCACGUGCGUGUCUUCAUACGCGCACCAUCUCAUGCCUCGUGGUGAGCGCGCGCCUCUCCCUCGGGCACUUUCUCACUUGCACGCGGGCACACAUAUGUAGACGCGCACGCACAUCAUUCCUCGUUUCGUAUCCGUUCUUUUGUUUGUUUCGUUGUACGUAAUUUUGUUUGUGCCCUCCGCAUCUCCCACUCGCCGUUUUGUUUUUGGCCACUUUUUUUUUCGCUCUGGCUUUUUUUCAGUCCCGGUGCCCGCUUUUUGCCUCCUUUGCUGAGCUCACGCAUAUGUCUGUGUGCGUGUGUUUAUGUGUCUGCGUGGCGAGGGGGCUGUCAACGGGGCUAACCCUCGUGUGUGCGUUUUCUUUCGGCUCUCUUGCUUCCCGUUCGGGCUCUUUGAGCACGUCGUUACGAACGACGUUCUCAGCCGUCGAUGCGCGCUGCAUUCGUUGCGAUGUUUGGUCAGAUGACGGGACGGUGGGAAAGGGAGCAGCGGGACACACGAUGCCGUUUCUGGAAUUGUGCUGCGAGCCCCUCGUUUUUGUUUGCUGUCGUACACGUGUCGUCUCUACUCGCUUUGCGCUUCCACUUUCCGCCCUCCUGAAACGGCCUCCCCCCCCCCCCGCGACUCUUCCAUUCCGCGUUGCUCAUGCCCGCCUCCCCCGCUCACCCCAUGUAUGAUCAUCUUUGCGUUCUCCUUCCUUUUGCUUUUUUUUGUAUAGCUGUCUUUGCCGACUCGCUGCGCCUCACCUCUUGGCGACGGCGUUGGUGCCUCUUUGCAUCUUUUUUUUUUUCAUCUCUUUUUACGGUUCACCGUCACCUUCUCUCCGAUCUACCCCUACAUCUUCUGUCAAUCUUGUUCUAGAGUCGUCCAAGACCGACGCACCGCUCAACCCACAUGCACGCGUUACCACGGGCACGCCAGCGCACAGGCGAACAUGCGCACACACGUAAUCAGCCCCCCCGACCCCCCCCCCCUCGCACAUACACACUGAGAGACACAUCGGCAGCAUAAAUCACUCCGUGAACAUUUUUUUGUGGGGGCGCUCGAGUCGUCAGCAUUUGUUCAUGUUUUUUUUUUUUCGUGUGGUUAUCAUUGGCUGUUCCGCCGUCUCCUCUCUCUCAUUCUUGUUCAAUGCGUGUGCGCCGGUGAUGUGCCUAAUGCUCGCGUAACGCGUUUUCAGCUCUCCCUGUUUGCAUGUCCGACGACAUGGGAGCUGAUGUGGUGUGUACGUGAUGUUUGCUUUGCACGUUCUUUUCCUUUGAAUGAUUUUUUCUUUUGUUUUUUUUUUCGCCGUUCUCUUCUGUCUUGUUUCGUCGCUGUCUGUGUGCAUGCCCGUGUGUUUCUUUUCUGUGAGUGUAUGUGCGCGGCGGUUAUCCUGGUCUCGUGUGACAGCGUGCGCACAUUUCCUGUGGUGAGUCUCUCUUAUUUGUGGUUGCGGCUUCUCUCCUCGCCCUUUCUUCUUUUAUUUUUUUUUCUUGGCCAGCCGAAGUGGUGGCGCUGUCGUUAGUUUUUACUUUCGCGCUUCACUGUUCAUCGUCUCUCUCUGUGUGCCGGGGUGUGUGUCUCUGCGUGUGUGUGGCUGUCUUCGCUUCUUGUUGACCGGGAUGAAUAUCUCAUGUGCGUACUAAUCAAUGGCCUCCUCGACUCAGAGACGAAAGGCAAGGGCCGCUUUCCUUUCCUCUUUGCAGCGUGUGUCCAUUCUCUGCCAUACACUAUGGCGUCCACUGCACUCUAUCCUCCUCCCCCGGCUUGCCCCACAGGCCGCACCAGCGUGGUGAAAAGCAUGCCGUUGACACACGCGUUAGGGCAAUAUCAGAUCGGUGAGCUGAGCAGAGCCUCUGCCUCGAACUCUAUCUGCCCAUGCCUGCUUUCCAGAUCGCCUCGCAGCCGCUCCAGCCAUGCUGGGUUGCCACGUGGUGCGUCUCCCUCGUGGUGGCGCUCAGGCCCCCCAGCCACCAGCCGGGCCGUGUGAGACACGGUCGAGUGACACUGACACUCUGCGUAAUCGCAUGGAUGGCACAAGCGUGUUCACUGUCGCGAGGUCGCUCCGAUGCCACGCCAUCCAGAACCCGAGCGCCGACAUCAGUAGCGAUACAUCGCUCUGACCUCCCCCCUACGUGGUAGGUGAUUGGCCGCGUCACCGCCAGAAGUGGCAGGGCAUUGACAGGGAUAGAAGGGCUGCUCGGCUUCCGCCCACCGUGCUGUGUGGUGGCCCCCUGAGAUGCCACGCGCUGAGGUGUCCCUCGUCAUGAGGGGAAACGGCAAAGCUGCGGAAAAGAAAAGGGGCAGUACGCAGACAAGCACAGGAUCAUGCGAAGGCACGAGUGCUUUUCACAUCCAUAUGUGGCAUUUUGUUCUGCUUUUUUUUUCCAUUCCUCCCCAUUUCAUCUUGCGUCUGCGACUCUUUGUGUAUCCGCUUGCGUCUCUGUGUGCGUAUGUAUGUGCUGCUGUGUGCGCUCCUUUUCUUUCUUGUUCGUGAGUUAUUGCUCUCUUUCUUUUCCUCUGUAGUUCUCCGGUGCUCUAGCCCUCUCUCUCCCUUCCUGCCCGCCCCCUCGCGUCUCCGAUGAACAUGAACUCAUGUUAUUUGUGGGUGUGGUGGUGUUAUCUCUGCAUUCAUGCCAAACUAACAUAAAUGACACACGCGCGCACACGUACGCGCACAGAAGAGGUCGGUGUGCUCCGCGUAUCGUGUGGCACCGGGCUUUUUUUUGUAGUUUCUGCGCCUCCAGUGGCGUAUGCGCGCUGCUUGAUGGUCGAGAACACCCUGGGCGAGAGUCCGGUGCCGCUUGUCGGCGGCAGCAGCUGUCGUGUGCACAAGCGUGAGCUGCGAGGAUCGAUGAGGCCUUCGUUGGCGCGGUGUUCAAAACCAUUCGCCAGCACGGGAGGGUGGGUGAGCAGGGACUGGCGUGAUGAAGGAGGAGAAAACUAGCUUUUCGCUGACUUUUCUUCAUCCAGCUAUGUCAGGGAUCACGCGUCGACAUACGGGCCCGCAUCCUCGGCGCCUCCUUGCGCUAUGAGUCGGCUACGCUGGCGCUCAAUACUCUACGUCUCUCCUAAUUUCUCUCUCGGUCGGGCGCCCGUCUUGCCCGCUUCUUUUAUUCGUACAUCUUUGGGCCUGUGCACUCACUAG